ensembl:lncRNA
GUUAUGUAUUGAAGAAUACAGUCUAUAAUACAUAUAAAAUAUGUGUUAAUUGACUAUACUAUCAGCAAGGCUUCAAGUCAAGGGGGAGGUGGAUGCCAUGUUGUGAGGACACUCAAGCAGCUCUACAGAGACGCCCCCAGGAUGAGAAACCGAGGCCUCCUGCCAACAGCCAUAGAGUGCACCAUCCAGUCCCAGUCAAACCUUCAGAUGACUGCAGCCCAGGCCAACACCUUGAUUGCAGCUUCAUAAGAGACUCUGAUAGUAGCACCACCCAGAUGAGGAGACUGAAGUACAGGAGAGGUUACAUAACUUAUCCAAGGUUCUUAGCUAUCUUUUCCCUUAAGGCAAAAAUACGUAUUCUGGUCCUUGGGCAAAUUAGUACAACGAUGGGAUUUAGAUGAACUGACACUACUUCCUCGUGAGCUCCCCCUUUCUCAGAAGGCACUUGGGAAAGCACGUGAACAAAUUCCUUUACUCGGGAUUGUGAGUGGCGAGGCUGCUUGGACCAUGAUUUCCAGUGUCCAAGACCUGCCCAAGAGGAUUCCUUCCCAGCCUGUUGUUGGACACAAGUGGGAUCUUCUUCCUGAGGGAACCGCCUGCUUUACCCACUGUCUCCUGCAUCAUUUUAUUCUGAAUGUCUCCAGUUAUUUCAACUAUCUUGGGAAGGACUCUGGGAAAAUAAAAGCUGUGUGUAUCACUUAGAGGUUUCUCACAACAGAACUGUGUUCUACCCUGCAUUGAUGGCUAAUUGAUUAAAAAUGGUGCAAAUGGGCCGGGCGCGGUGGCUCAAGCCUGUAAUCCCAGCACUUUGGGAGGCCGAGACGGGCGGAUCACGAGGUCAGGAGAUCGAGAGACGAUCCCGGUCUAACACGGUGAAACCCCGUCUCUACUGAAAAAUACAAAAAAAACUAGCCGGGCGAGGUGGCCGGCGCCUGUAGUCCCAGCUACUCGGGAGGCUGAGGCAGGAGAAUGGCGUAAACCCGGGAGGCGGAGCUUGCAGUGAGCUGAGAUCCGGCCACUGCACUCCAGCCUGGGUGACAGAGCAAGACUCCGUCUCAAAAAAAAAAAAAAAAAAAAAAAAGGUGCAAAUACUGCUGUAGUCUUAGUAAAUCCUUGUCAAUAUAACUUGUUUUUGGGUUUUCACCAAUAUGUGAAUGACACAUGUCAUUGAGACAGUGACUGGAUUUGAUUACCAAGGAUUGUGAAUAAAAUAUUCUUUCAAGAUGCCAUUUGUAGCAUUUGCUUCCCAAACCCCCAGUUCUCAGGCUAAGAAACACAUAUUUUGCUGAAAGACAUUCAAAGUGCCAGUACAGAGCUCCAUUAACUAGCUGGAUGAAUAGCAAAGAUUCAGCAUUCACUGUGCAUGAAUUACUUCUGGAAAGGUUCUUAUCCCUACCCUCAUGAAGAUCACAAUCUGGUGGAAAAGCUGAGGCACGUUCAAGGAAAAAAUCCAGGGGAUGCAUGAAACUGACAUACAAACAAGCAGUUCAUGGAUGAGGAAACCCACCAGGCUCUAUUAACACAGGCUGGAUUAAUUCAGGACAGGCCAUGUGAUAUAGGAGGGCAGGUGUGAAGCAGAAAUCUAGUGACCCUCUAAGAGAGAAAGGACUAAUAUUUGUUUGCAGGUAAAAUGAACCACUUGCAAUUACAAGUGAAACUUUUAGUUGUGUAUAAGAGAGAGCCCUUGCCACUUUG